GUUAAACAAACACACUUUACAAUAAACAGGGUACUUCCAGAGUCUCCCAGAUGGCUGAUCAGUAAACAACGAUUCACGGCCGCCAAGGAUGUCCUUAAGAGAGCUGCUCGGAUAAACAAGGUUACCAUACAAGACCGAGUCUCGGAUCUGCUCGCAAAGCCAGCUGAAUCCAACGAGAACACAAAGAGUUUCACAAUAAUUGACCUCGUGCGAACCCCUCGGAUGCGCAAAAUCGCAUUGACGAUGUGCUUGGUAUGGAUGUUCAUAGCAGGAGUCUAUUUUGGCCUAAUUGUCGGGACGACAGAUCUAGCCGGAGAUCCGUACGUCAACUUUGCCCUGGGUGCAGCUCUGGAAAUCGGGCUGGCUAUUCUAGGGUGGGCGGGCAUGGAGAGAUGGGGCAGGAAACCAGUCAUAGCAGGGUCCGCUUUACUUGCAGGGACAGGUUGCCUGGUGACAGCGGCUACAAAGGAACUACCGACUAUUUCCCGUAAUUU